UCCCUUGCCGUCGGGGGACUGACAUGCAAGGGCGACAUAAUUAAUUAAUUAUGGUUAAUAAAAUAUUAGUAAUUAAUUAAUGACUGUUAAAAAGGAUUUAGCGUAAUAUUGAAAUAUUUUAAUAUUAAAAAUAUCUUUAAUUAUUUAAAAUUUGAUUAUACAAUUCUUCGACCUUACAGAAAUUGACAUCAGAAAAAGGACAUUAUAGCUAGGUACGUUUAUUUGAGUACAAAAAAUGGGUAGUACGUACUCUAGUUUACUCUGUACUGCAUAUAGUACCCUGGUGUACUACAAAUUAAAGUGGUCAAAAAAAAUACAGCUUCAUUGAACAUAAAAUUUGGUUGAAAAGUUAUCUAUAAAUGUUGACCAGCCUUGCUCAUUUACCAUCAAUUACUUAGCAAAAUUUCUCCGCAUGACUCUGAUCAGAACAUGGAAUCUUUCUCCGUCUGUAUCAGUUGAAAGCCACAAAGGUUCUCUAAUGUUUCCACACGGGGAAGGAUGAGAAGAUGAGCUACUUCAUAUUCUGAAUUUAUCUUCAAGGCCAGGCUGAUGCUGAUCAAAGAAGAUCCACAGAGCAGAUUGAAGCUUAUUAUUAGUGAGGGGCUUCACAAUAUACAGAGCAGUAAUGAACUACCAUUCGACGAAAGCGCUGUGGAAUCUAUCUUUGCCAUUGGAGCUAUAUAUUAAAAUUGACUACACUCUUAAUUAAGGUCAACUCGUUAAUCUUUAAAUUAGUAAUAAUAAUAGAAAUUCCAGGUUAAUAAAAUGACAUCUCAUUUUUUAGAUCCAUUGGCUAAAAAAUCUUAUUCCAAAUAUCAAUAAUAUUAAUAAUAAUCAAUGGGUGCAGAGCAAGAUGAGAACUGUACACAAGUCGAGCAAGAAUAAUUUGACUUCAUGUAGCUUUUAAUAAUUCAUGUCAUUUUAUUAUCUUUUAAAACUAGAAAUAAAAGAACUAUUUUACAUCUUUAAAAAGUAUAUUAAUAACAGGUCUCAGUAUUUCAAGAAUAAAAUUAUUUAAAUUUUCUAAAGUUGAGAUUUAUAAAUUUCUGUGAAAUGUAUCUUUUAAAGAAAAAUGGAAGAAUUUAUAUUUGAUAAAAAAUUAUAAAAUAAAGAAAAAUAUUAAAAAAAAAGAACACUUCACAGAAAUUUACAUAUUUCAACUUUAGGAAUUUAAACUCAAUUUUUUGUUUCUCACAAAUUAGCUAUAAGACACUCCCAACAUGUAAUUGAUAUAUGGUACAAUUUUCAUAUUUUUGUCAUAUUUUAAAUAAUAAAUUGACAAACAUAUAGUUUUAAUAGUAAUAUAUGCAUAUUUUUUUACAACUCAGUACCUGUCUUUUAAAAAUGAUAAAACACACACAUUCACGUUAAAGUUUAUUUAAAAUAGAUAACUGGAUUUCGUGUCUGUCCAAGUUGGACCAAGUAACAAUUACUAUAUUUUAAAAUCACCGUAAGACAAACACUCAUACCUGGUCUUCGACGCCGUUGAAAUUAAGAUCCACAGGUUUAGGCGUCUGAUGAUUAGCGUUUCUGAGAGCGUCAUAAAGUGGCGACUUAGAAUCCGAAUAUAUGUUCGGAAUCGGCAUGCCCUCCGGUACGUCCCAGUUCCAAAAGGGCAUAGCAAAAUUUGGGUCACGAUCUUUGAUCAAGCUGGCCAAUAUUCUCUCGUAGAAAUAAAGGUACCAGCGAUGGAAGGGAAAGAAGAGCCAAGAAUUAUGGACUUGCAGGUCCAGAUCAGGAAACCCUACUUGGUGAUAAGAACCGUCACAGUAAGCGCAAUGAAUGUUGGCUUGCUGAGUGAAGCUCCGAGGAUCGUCCGGUGGAAGAGCUUUCAUGCGACGGACAGCUUCUUUGUAGUUUUCUACGUACGUAGAAUCUACUAAAUGAGCAGCUGGUCGGGUUCUCAAGGUAGUGUUUGGUGGAGGAGUGAAGUCUAUGAUGUUUGAGGAGAGUGGAGGGCAGCAAUUGGUCGGUUUAGCACCGGACGGGAGGUCCGGCGGGCCGCAUGCUGUAAGGUCUGGUGGCGAGAUCGGGGCGGCAAGGGAAAAUGGGUCCUUAUGGUGAAGUGUAGCACCAUAAAGACCUCCUACCCCUAUGAGGAGGUUUCUUCUUGCAAGGUUAGGAUUCAGGGUUUUAGGGUCAAAUUUGUUCUCAUCCUUCAUGGCUUUGCAUGUCACUCUAGAUGCAUAGUUUGGAAAUCUUGUUGAUUUGAUGGCUUUGGGAUCGUUGUAUCUGAAGAAGGGACGAUUAGAGAGGAGCAAAGGGGAUAGAGAAGCCAUGAUCUUGAGCUUUUCUUGCUUGCAAUUGUAUUCUUGAAGGUUAAAGACUUUUUAUAUUAGCAAUUUUAAUUUA